UGGGGGAUCGUCUAGUGGUAGGACUGCGGACUUUGGAUCCGCAUACCCAGGUUCGAAUCCUGGUCCCCCAG
rnacentral:tRNA from 1 species